GAUGAACGCUGGCGGCGUGCCUAAUACAUGCAAGUCGAACGAGGUGCUUUUGUAGCAAUACGAGAGUAUCCUAGUGGCGAACGGGUGAGUAACGCGUUGGUGACCUGCCCCAAAGUGCGGGAUAACAGUCCGAAAGGAUUGCUAAUACCGCAUGUGGUUAUUGGAUUUAGAAACUAAUAACUAAAGGAGCAAUCCGCUUUGGGAGGGACCUGCGUCCCAUCAGCUAGUUGGUGAGGUAACGGCUCACCAAGGCUACGACGGGUAGGGGACCUGAGAGGGUGACCCCCCACAAUGGAACUGAAACACGGUCCAUACACCUACGGGUGGCUG
rnacentral:rRNA from 1 species